CUAAGGAAAACAUGACUUAAGAAGUCGAGCACUUUCGAAAGAAAGAUGCUAAACCAAGCGUUUUCGAAAGAAAAUCGCUCACAUGUAUUAAACCACUCAUCAUAUUCAGUUUUGAAAGACUUAUUAAUUUAAGUUUUUCUUAUGAAAAUCGCAAGAUUUUCCAUUAAGAUUUGAUCUUUGAAAAGUAGAUAAAUUCUGUCGUAAGGU
rnacentral:misc_RNA from 1 species